UAACUGACGCUGAGGCGCGAAAGCGUGGGGAGCGAACAGGAUUAGAUACCCUGGUAGUCCACGCCGUAAACGAUGAGUGCUAGGUGUUAGGGGUUUCAAUACCCUUAGUGCCGGAGUUAACACAUUAAGCACUCCGCCUGGGGAGUACGGCCGCAAGGCUGAAACUCAAAGGAAUUGACGGGGGCCCGCACAAGCGGUGGAGCAUGUGGUUUAAUUCGAAGCAACGCGAAGCACCUUACCAGGGCUUGACAUCCUCUGAACCUCCUGGAGACAGGAGUUUCCCAUUUGGGACAGAGAGACAGGUGGUGCAUGGUUGUCGUCAGCUCGUGUCGUGAGAUGUUGGGUUAAGUCCCGCAACGAGCGCAACCCUUAAGCUUAGUUGCCAGCAUUGAGUUGGGCACUCUAAGCUGACUGCCGGUGACAAGCCGGAGGAAGGCGGGGAUGACGUCAAAUCAUCAUGCCCCUUAUGUCCUGGGCGACACACGUGCUACAAUGGCUGGUACAGAGGGCAGCGAAGCGGUGACGUGGAGCCAAUCCCAAAAAGCCAGUCUCAGUUCGGAUCGCAGGCUGCAACUCGCCUGCGUGAAGCAGGAAUCGCUAGUAAUCGCGGAUCAGCAUGCCGCGGUGAAUCCGUUCCCGGGCCUUGUACACACCGCCCGUCACACCACGAGAGUUUGUAACACCCGAAGUCGGUGAGGCAACCGAUAAGGAGCCAGCCGCCGAAGGUGGGACAGAUGAUUGGGGUGAAGUCGUAACAAGGUAACCAAGGG
rnacentral:rRNA from 1 species